rnacentral:rRNA from 1 species
GAUGAACGCUGGCGGCGUGCCUAAUACAUGCAAGUCGAGCGAACAGACGAGGAGCUUGCUCCUCUGACGUUAGCGGCGGACGGGUGAGUAACACGUGGAUAACCUACCUAUAAGACUGGGAUAACUUCGGGAAACCGGAGCUAAUACCGGAUAAUAUAUUGAACCGCAUGGUUCAAUAGUGAAAGACGGUUUUGCUGUCACUUAUAGAUGGAUCCGCGCCGCAUUAGCUAGUUGGUAAGGUAACGGCUUACCAAGGCAACGAUGCGUAGCCGACCUGAGAGGGUGAUCGGCCACACUGGAACUGGGACACGGUCCAGACUCCUACGGGAGGCAGCAGUAGGGAAUCUUCCGCAAUGGGCGAAAGCUUGACGGAGCAACGCCGCGUGAGUGAUGAAGGUCUUCGGAUCGUAAAACUCUGUUAUUAGGGAAGAACAAAUGUGUAAGUAACUAUGCACGUCUUGACGGUACCUGAUCAGAAAGCCACGGCUAACUACGUG